rnacentral:rRNA from 1 species
GAUGAACGCUGGCGGCGUGCUUAACACAUGCAAGUCGAACGGAAAGGCCCUGCUUUUGUGGGGUGCUCGAGUGGCGAACGGGUGAGUAACACGUGAGUAAACUGUCCUUGACUUUGGGAUAAAUUCAGGAAACUGGGGCUAAUACAGGAUAGGAUCUACUGAUGCAUGGUGGGGGUUGGAAAGUUUCGGCGGUUGGGGCUGGACUCGCGGCUUAUCAGCUUGUUGGUGGGGUAGUGGCUUACAAAGGCUUUGACGGGUAGCCGGCCUGAGAGGGUGACCGGCCACAUGGGUACUGAGAUACGGCCCAGACUCCUACGUGAGGCAGCAGUGGGGAAUAUUGCACAAUGGGCGGAAGCCAGAUGCAGCAACGCCGCGUGCGGGAUGACGUCCUUCGGGGUAUAAACCACUUUCUCCGUUGACGAAGCGUGAGUGACGGUAAUUGGUAAAGAAGCACCGGCUAACUACGUG